UACGUAGGGUGCAAGCGUUAAUCGGAAUUACUGGGCGUAAAGCGUGCGCAGGCGGCUUUGCAAGACAGAUGUGAAAUCCCCGGGCUUAACCUGGGAACUGCAUUUGUGACUGCAUGGCUGGAGUGCGGCAGAGGGGGAUGGAAUUCCGCGUGUAGCAGUGAAAUGCGUAGAUAUGCGGAGGAACACCGAUGACGGAAGGCAAUCCCCUGGGCCUGCACUGACGCUCAUGCACGAAAGCGUGGGGAGCAAACAGG
rnacentral:rRNA from 1 species